ACAUUAUUAAUGCACAGAUCUACAUUGCAAGUACUUGACAGAUUAAGGCAAAAGGUGUACUUUCAUUGCAAAGAGAUUUACCAGCAACAACAUAAGUUGUUGAGACACCACCACCUUUCAUGGCCCUAAGAACUCCCAAGAACCAGGCUCAGAGCCAUCAGAGCCAGAGAGUAGCAGGCUGUGGAGGUAGAGCUGGCAGCCUGUGUUGUGACACGUUG